rnacentral:rRNA from 1 species
ACGUAGGUGGCGAGCGUUGUCCGGAUUUACUGGGCGUAAAGAGCGCGCAGGCGGUCGGCCAAGUCGAGUGUGAAAGCCCCCGGCUCAACUGGGGAGGGUCACUUGAUACUGGUCGACUCGAAGGCGGGAGAGGGAAGUGGAAUUCCCGGUGUAGUGGUGAAAUGCGUAGAUAUCUGGAGGAACAUCAGUGGCGAAGGCGACACCCUGGACUCAUACUGACACUGAGGUGCGAAAGCGUGGGGAGCAAACAGGA